AACUCGGCAAAAUGACCCCGUAACUUAGGGAUAAGGGGUGCCACCAUCAGGUGGCCGCAGAGAAUAGGCCCAAGCGACUGUUUACCAAAAACAUAGGUUUCUGCUAAGUCGCAAGACGAUGUAUAGGAGCUGACGCCUGCCCGGUGCUGGAAGGUUAAGGGGAUCUGUUAGAGCAAUCGAAGCAGUGAACUUAAGCCCCAGUAAACGGCGGCCGUAACUAUAACGGUCCUAAGGUAGCGAAAUUCCUUGUCGGGUAAGUUCCGACCCGCACGAAAGGCGUAACGAUUUGGGCACUGUCUCAACAACAGACUCGGUGAAAUUGUAAUUCCGGUGAAGAUGCCGGAUACCUGCGACAGGACGGAAAGACCCCAUGGAGCUUUACUGUAGCUUGACAUUGGGUCUUGGUACUACAU
rnacentral:rRNA from 1 species